ACUCCCACGGGAGGCAGCAGUGGGGAAUUUUGCACAAUGGGGGAAAGCCUGAGGCAGCAACGCCGCGUGGAGGAUGAAGUCCCCCGGGUCGUAAACUCCUUUAGACCG
rnacentral:rRNA from 1 species